rnacentral:rRNA from 2 species
GUCUUUUUGAUAAUAAUUUAAAGUCUAAUCUGCCCAAUGAUACGUUAAAUGGCCGCGGUAAUUUGACCGUGCAAAGGUAGCAUAAUCAUUAGUUUUUUAAUUGGAAGCUGGUAUGAACGAUUGGACGAGGGAAUGACUGUCUCUGUUUAAUUGUUUUGAAUUUUAUUUUUUAGUAAAAAAGCUUAAAUAUUUUUAAUAGACGAGAAGACCCUAUAGAGUUUUAUAUAGAGAUUUGUGUGUAUUUUGAGUUAUAUUUAUAUAGAUAUAUUUUGAUGUAUUUUGUUGGGGUGAUAGAAAAAUUAAAUGAACUUUUUUUAUUUUAAUUCAUUAAUUUAUGAUUAAGUGAUCCAUGUUUUAUGAUAAUAAGAUGAAAUUACCUUAGGGAUAACAGCGUAAUUUUUUUUUAGAGUUCUAAUCGAAAAAAGAGUUUGCGACCUCGAUGUUGGAAUUAAA